GGCGGCGUGCUUAACACAUGCAAGUCGAACGGAAAGGCCCUGCUUUUGUGGGGUGCUCGAGUGGCGAACGGGUGAGUAACACGUGAGUAACCUGCCCUUGACUUUGGGAUAACUUCAGGAAACUGGGGCUAAUACCGGAUAGGAGCUCCUGCUGCAUGGUGGGGGUUGGAAAGUUUCGGCGGUUGGGGAUGGACUCGCGGCUUAUCAGCUUGUUGGUGGGGUAGUGGCUUACCAAGGCUUUGACGGGUAGCCGGCCUGAGAGGGUGACCGGCCACAUUGGGACUGAGAUACGGCCCAGACUCCUACGGGAGGCAGCAGUGGGGAAUAUUGCACAAUGGGCGGAAGCCUGAUGCAGCAACGCCGCGUGCGGGAUGACGGCCUUCGGGUUGUAAACCGCUUUCGCCUGUGACGAAGCGUGAGUGACGGUAAUGGGUAAAGAAGCACCGGCUAACUACGUGCCAGCAGCCGCGGUGAUACGUAGGGUGCGAGCGUUGUCCGGAUUUAUUGGGCGUAAAGGGCUCGUAGGUGGUUGAUCGCGUCGGAAGUGUAAUCUUGGGGCUUAACCCUGAGCGUGCUUUCGAUACGGGUUGACUUGAGGAAGGUAGGGGAGAAUGGAAUUCCUGGUGGAGCGGUGGAAUGCGCAGAUAUCAGGAGGAACACCAGUGGCGAAGGCGGUUCUCUGGGCCUUUCCUGACGCUGAGGAGCGAAAGCGUGGGGAGCGAACAGGCUUAGAUACCCUGGUAGUCCACGCUGUAAACGGUGGGUACUAGGUGUGGGGUCCAUUCCACGGGUUCCGUGCCGUAGCUAACGCUUUAAGUACCCCGCCUGGGGAGUACGGCCGCAAGGCUAAAACUCAAAGGAAUUGACGGGGCCCCGCACAAGCGGCGGAGCAUGCGGAUUAAUUCGAUGCAACGCGUAGAACCUUACCUGGGUUUGACAUGGAUCGGGAGUGCUCAGAGAUGGGUGUGCCUCUUUUGGGGUCGGUUCACAGGUGGUGCAUGGCUGUCGUCAGCUCGUGUCGUGAGAUGUUGGGUUAAGUCCCGCAACGAGCGCAACCCUUGUUCACUGUUGCCAGCACGUUAUGGUGGGGACUCAGUGGAGACCGCCGGGGUCAACUCGGAGGAAGGUGGGGAUGACGUCAAGUCAUCAUGCCCCUUAUGUCCAGGGCUUCACGCAUGCUACAAUGGCUGGUACAGAGAGUGGCGAGCCUGUGAGGGUGAGCGAAUCUCGGAAAGCCGGUCUCAGUUCGGAUUGGGGUCUGCAACUCGACCUCAUGAAGUCGGAGUCGCUAGUAAUCGCAGAUCAGCAACGCUGCGGUGAAUACGUUCCCGGGGCUUGUACACACCGCCCGUCAAGUCAUGAAAGUUGGUAACACCCGAAGCCGGUGGCCUAACCGAUGUGGGGGAGCCGUCGAAGGUGGGACUGGUGAUUAGGACUA
rnacentral:rRNA from 1 species